CCAUGCUGGAGCUCACUGUAAACUACAAUAUUAUUUUCCACAUAGUUCUGUUUUGCAGCUUUUGCCUUUCUUAACAAAAAUGUCUUUUUGUAAAAUAUUAGAUGAAAAGUAUACUUUGCAACAGUAGCAUUUCCUUUUGCAUAAGAUCUGGUUUUAACCUGAGAUUAUUUCAAAAGGAAAUUUCUACUCAAUCUCCAAUACCUGGACUGGUUUUUUUACCCUCUGUUGUAUUACCAGAGGGUUUUCCAGAUACCGACGAUGGUAGCAGAGUAACUUAUGUUCUGAAGUAAAUUAUCCCACCACAGUAAAGUCAUCCCACAUGUAUUUGGUUCUUAACUAUUAACUAAUGUAAGUGAUGAAACGUUUUUUCCUACAAGGCAGUUUUUUUAUUAUUUUUUAUUUUUUUGAUACGGAGUCUCGCUCUGUCACCAGGCUGGAGUGCAGUGGCACAGUCUUGGCUCAUUGCACCCUCUGACUCCCAGGGUCAAGUGAUUCUCCUGCCUCAGCCUCCCGAGUAGCUGGGACUACAGCUGUGUGCCACCACGCCCAGCUAAUUUUUGUAUUUUUAGUAGAGACGUGGUUUCACCGUGUUGGCCAGGAUGGUCUCAAUCUUGUGAUCCACCCACCUCGGCCUCCCAAAGUGCUGGGAUUACAGGUGUGAGCCACUGUGCCUGGCCAAGGCAGUUUUGUAAUCUGUUUUAUUUUCAGAUAGAUAAUUUGUUCUGACUUUACAAAAUGGAAAACAGGUUCUAUAUCCUUGGCAGCUUAAUACAAGUACUGUCUUAUACACACUGUGUAUAUUCAGUGUUUAUUGUUACUGUUCUUAGAGUUCAGACAUGUUGCUGUAGUCGAACUU
rnacentral:lncRNA from 10 species